GUGUCAGCCGCCGCGGUAAAACGUAGGAGACAAGCGUUAUCCGAAUUUACUGGGCGUAAAGCGCAUGCAGGUGGUUCGGUAAGUGGCGUGUGAAAUCUCCUGGCUCAACUGGGAGGGGACGCGCCAAACUGUCGGACUAGAGGGCGGUAGAGGGAGGUGGAAUUCCCGGUGUAGUGGUGAAAUGCGUAGAUAUCGGGAGGAACACCUGUGGCGAAAGCGGCCUCCUGGACCGUACCUGACGCUCAGAUGCGAAAGCUAGGGGAGCGAACGGGAUUAGAAACCCCGGUAGUCCUAGCUGUAAACGAUGUGGACUGGGUGUUGGUGGGGUAAAAGCCAUCGGUGCCGAAGCAAACGCGCUAAGUCCACCGCCUGAGGACUACGGCCGCAAGGUUAAA
rnacentral:rRNA from 1 species